UGGGUGAGCUGUGGUCAUCAACACCUGAGAUCUACGUCCAACACCAGCAUGCUCCAGCUGUGGGACUUCUGGUUCAAAACCUUCCGAGCACCUAUUUCGUCAUCUGUAAAAUAAGAUUAGGACGACUACCCAUACCUUUUUUUUUUUUUUUUUUCCUGUAAUUUAGUUUUCAGAGAGAACUUUUUGGUUGAGUGUUUACUUAAUAAUACCUCCUUGGACGCCUGGGUGGCUCGAUCGCCAAGCAUCUGACUUUGGCUCAGGUCGUGGUCUCACGGUUCAUGAGUGCCAGCCCUGGAUCAGAAUGCAAACAGAUUGGAGACAGUUCAAAGACUGGGCAGCAAAACAUAAUUAAGAAGUGACUGACUUAUGGGAAAAGAUGAAAAGCGCUCCAAGUCCGAAAGCCAUGUUGCAGAAACCCCUGGAAGGAGGUGAUCACCAUUUCCAAGCAUGGAAAUUCAGGAAAUAAAAGACGAGGAGAGGAGCUUCUGGGAGAGGGGCAGGAGUUCAAAAGAGGGUGUUGCAUGAGAACCUACUAGAAUGGGUAAGAUUGGCCCUUCCCCAGGAGGUGAAUGAGUAUACACAGUGUCUGUGAUAAAUCACAGUUGAAUGGAGAACCGUGAUUUGAAGGGAAGAGAAUGCACAUUUCCUCUGAGGCUAAACACCAGCACCACCAAAAAGCCCAUCAUUUAGAGGGGGGGUCGGCCAACUUUUUCCGUGAGAAGCAUGGAUCAUAAAUGUUCUCGGCCGUGUGGCCCUCCCGGCUCUGUGUCACCUGCUCUACUCUGCCUUUGUUGGCUGAAAGCAGUCAUAGAUGAUAUGUAAAUAAUACGCGUGGCUGUGUUUCAAUAAAACUUUAUUGGCAAA